CUUUCAUACUCAACCACAUGUUUUUGAUGGCAAUGGUAGCUGGUCUGGAACAGCCACUGCAAAGACGCCAGCUGCAGGGGAGGAAGUGCGGCCCGGGUGACACACUCCUCAGGGCGGUAGGAACUGGGAACAGGCAGGAGCCCAUCCCCCUACAGAGCUGGCAGAGUGGGAGCCCUGUGGUCUUGGGCGCAGCUACAGCUGCCCAGCUGUAGCUUCAGAUCCGAGCAUCCCUGUAUUGUCAGGGGCCCAGGAAGCUCCUUGCCACCGCAGGCUUGAAAGUUCCUGCUCCCAUUGCCUGACCUCACCCCACUCCUGGCGCCCACUCUGGUGAGGAUCAAAGUUGUGGCAAAGCCUGGGUGCUGUUGCAACCAGACCGGGUGUGUGUGCGCACGCUCAGGGUGACACUGAAAUGCCAGCCUUCUGCCACCUCAGCCCCCUCUGGACUUCGGGCACCGACGAACAUGGGAUGGAGGCUGAGGAGGGGCUGAAGUCAGCUUGGCAAAGGCCACUGCUUGGUAAGAACAGCCUGGGCACUGUGGACUGCAUGUUGAUGGCGGGAGGCAAACAGGUUCCUGGGUGGAAAGGGAUUAGUCCCACGUGAAGCCCCACCUUCAAGGUAGAGACGGCCUGAAGCCUGGUGGCCGGGCUGUCAGAUCCAGGUGGAGUGGGAACUCAUGGUGCUUUUUACCAGCCUGCCCAUGGCUGCCCAUGGAUGAAUCAGCACGUACUUUCUCCCUUCUGAGACCGUAAAAUCCCCGAAACCAGCCAAACUCACAUAGACAUCAGGAUGACUUGCCUGUGGAAAGGAGCUACCCAUUCUGGUUCUCCGCUCCACUGAGAGCUGCACUCAUCACGACAACUUGCAUGUGAGCGGAACCACCCACUACGGGUCUCCUCUCUGCUGAGGUGGACACUCAUUGGGACAACCCGCCUGCGGAAAGGAGCUGUCCACUUCCGGUCCUCUGCAGCCGUUCUGUCAAUGAAGCUCCUCUCUGCCUUGCUCACCCUCCACUUGUCCGUGUACCUCAUUCUUGUCGUGGAACAAGACCCUGGGACCCAGUGAAUGGUGGGACUGAAAGAGCGGUAACACAAACAGGGCUGAAACAUGCCCACCGCUCGCCACUUUGUGGGCGACGAGGAGAAACGAACUGCUGUGGCCCUUCAGGAAUCCCAGACCUAGAGACUCCUGAGCCAGGGCUGUGACACCCUCUUUGGGGCUCCGCAGUUUCUGGUGUCUCCAAGCUUCCGGGUGCCAUCGUAUUUCCCAGUGCCUGCAGUGGAAGCCAUUUGUGGUAACGCCUGGUCCAGCCAGUCUCACACGGAACCCACGCCUGUGCUGGCGCCUGGAGCUGCCUGCCCAGUGGCAGCAAGCACGCAUGGCUGUGUGCAGUGGCCAGACCCCAUGCUUAUUAACACACCCCUUGCUACUCCUCACCAGGCUCGCCCUUGGCAGGUGUGGGAUCCAGGUCAGUAUUAUGAGCCAAAUACAGCCUGCUGGGGCGAGUGAGCAGAAGAGGCCAGCGGGCCCGUGUAAAACUCAGGCAAAGGCACCACCAGCCGCAGAGGUUUCCAACUGAAAAAGUGACACGGUUUGAUCUUCGCAGUGGCCUGUGGCUAAGACUGAUAUUAAAGGAAGAAUUAAAAUCCUGAAUCAAUCAUGAACUUUAAAGUUAAGAUGAAUUCAAGGAUAUCAAACUUGACUGCAUAAGAGAGUAUCAUGUUUGGAGAGAAGAAAUAAUUUUAUUGCGAGACACAAAGUGGUGUCUGUCACUUAAAUCCUUCACCAAUCUACCUCCUGUACUCGUGGAAAAAAAGGAAUCAGGAAGAGAGCAGCAGAAACCCAGGGGUUACCUGAGGAUAAUUUAGGUCUUUAUUAUGUACAUUCUCAGCUCACCACUGUGCAGAAUUGGUAUGGAAAUCAAUUCAGAUAAGGAACAUACAACUCUGGAGAACUGACUAAAUGUUGUUUUACUAAGAAAAAUGUGAUCACAUCACUUUUCUACCUAAAUUUCUUCAAAAUUUCUACAAAGCUCUGAGAAUAAAACUCUCUCAGCAUAGCUAGCAAGACGAUGCAUGAUCUUCCUAGCUACCUACUAGGCCGUCCUUAUCUCAAACCUCUGCCCCUUAAGCUCCAUCUGAGAAUACCAGUCUUCUUUUAGUCUCUCUUGUAUGUUAUUUGUCUUAUCUUUUGCUGCUUUCAGAACUUUUUCUUUGUCCUAAUUUUUUUAUAGUUUGAUUACUUUGUGCUGUGGCUAAUUCCAAAAAAGGUUAAAUUUGAUUGGAGAACUCUGGCCUUCCUAUAUCUGGAUAUUGGCAUCUUUUCCCAGAUUUGGGAAGUUUUCAACCAUUAUUUAUUUAAAUUUGCCUUUUCCUUCUGAAAUUCUUAUACAAAAAUUAAGUCUCCUAAUAGUGUCCCAUAUUAUCAAAAGCUUUCUUUGUUCUUUUUAUUUUUUUUCCUUUUGAUUCUUCUGACUGGAUAAUUUCAUAUGUUCUGUCUUCCAGCUGAUACUUCUGCUCGAUUGAGCUUGUCAAUGAAGCUUUCUCUUGCAUGUUUUUAGUUCAAUCAUUUCAAUCUUCAUCUCUAGAAUUUCUAUUUGUGUUUUUUUAAUUGUUUCUAUUUCUUUGUUGAAUUUCUCAUUUGUGCAUGUAUUGUAUUCCAAAGCGCACUUAAUUUUUUUUCCAUAUGUUUUUGUAGUUCACUAAACUUCAGGAGGAUUAUUCUGAAUUCUUUGUUAUUUUGGAGAGUUUCAUUACUUCAGGGUCAGUCACUGGACUUUUGCUAUAUUCUUUUGGAGGUGUCGUGAUUUCUUCAGUUUUUAUACUCCUGUUUCCUUGUGUUGGUGUCUGCAUAUUUGAGGAAAC
rnacentral:lncRNA from 1 species